GACGAACGCUGGCGGCGUGCCUAAUACAUGCAAGUCGAGCGAAUGGAUGGGAGCUUGCUCCCUGAAGUUAGCGGCGGACGGGUGAGUAACACGUGGGCAACCUGCCUGUAAGACUGGGAUAACUUCGGGAAACCGGAGCUAAUACCGGAUACAUUCUUUCUUCGCCUGAAGAAAGAUGGAAAGAUGGUUUCGGCUAUCACUUACAGAUGGGCCCGCGGCGCAUUAGCUAGUUGGUGAGGUAACGGCUCACCAAGGCAACGAUGCGUAGCCGACCUGAGAGGGUGAUCGGCCACACUGGGACUGAGACACGGCCCAGACUCCUACGGGAGGCAGCAGUAGGGAAUCUUCCGCAAUGGACGAAAGUCUGACGGAGCAACGCCGCGUGAGCGAAGAAGGCCUUCGGGUCGUAAAGCUCUGUUGUUAGGGAAGAACAAGUACCAGAGCAACUGCUGGUACCUUGACGGUACCUAACCAGAAAGCCACGGCUAACUACGUGCCAGCAGCCGCGGUAACAC
rnacentral:rRNA from 1 species